AUUGAACGCUGGCGGCAGGCCUAACACAUGCAAGUCGAACGAGUGGCGGACGGGUGAGUAAUGUCUGGGAAACGGCCUGAUGGAGGGGGAUAAAUACUGGAAACGGUAGCUAAUACCGCAUACCAUCGGAUGUGCCCAGAUGGGAUUAGCUAUGAGGUGGGGUAAAGGCUAACCGAGGCGACGAUCCCUAGCUGGUCUGAGAGGAUGACCAGCCACCCUGGAACUGAGACACGGUCCAGACUCCUACGAGAGGGAGCAGUGGGGAAUAUUGCACAAUGGGCGCAAGCCUGAUACAGCCAUGCCGCGUGUAUGAAGAAUGCCUUCGGGUUGUAAUGUACUUUCAUCGUUGAGGCGUUACCCGCACAAGAAGCACCGGCUAACUCCGUGCCAGCAGCCGCGGUGAUAC
rnacentral:rRNA from 1 species